AGGGAGAGCGGGAGUCUAGGGGCGGAGCCUUAGGGUAAACAAACUGACGCGUGCGUACGGGGGCGGGGCGGGGCUUUUUCCUCUGAGGUUUCUCAGCGGACCAGAGGAGAGGUGGUGUGAGGUGGCAAGAGGGACCGGCAAUGCACUGUCAGGAGGUUUCUCAGCUCACCAGAGGAGAGGUGGUGUGAGGUGGCAAGAGGGACCGGCAAUGCACUGUGGGGGUUGUAGUUCAGAUCCCGGGGGCGCAUGCAAGAGAGACCAAUAGCGAACUACAAGACCCAGCGAUCGUCAGAUUCUGCCCACCCUCACCGCCAGUCACUGGACCUGCCUUCAUUUCAAGAAACGUGGGCUGAGGAGAGAGAACUGGAACUCCUACCAAGGCACCUUGUUUUUAAGUUAUCUACACAGUUUCACUGAAGCUGGAUGGAGAAAGCAGCCGGAACAAAAAAAUAAUUUUUCAAUAAUUCUUGGAAUUCCUAAAAUAUUAUUUCCUAUAUUCUUUUAAAGUCCUAUUUCUGGGGCUGGAGAGAUAGCUAGGAGCAUGGGCUCCACUUGCAGAGAACCCAUAUGAGAGCUCCCUCUGAGACAGUGACCUGUGUGAUGCAUAGACAUACUACAGACCAUCAGUCAUAUACAUAAAAAUCUUUUUAAAAAAUUAACUUCUCCCUGGGACUAGGGAGACUAGGCAGACAUAUGUUAUAGUAACAUAAUAUAUAUACAUAUAUGUAUAUGCACAAAUAUAUAUGUAUAUAUAGGUAUAUGGACACAUAUAUAAGUGUGUGUGUGUGUGUGUGUGUGUGUGUGUGUGUGUGUGUGUGUGUUCUUUCACGUGAGUACAGGUACCAGUAGGGUCUAGAAGAGGAUGUUGGAUCCCUGGAGCUGCCUGACAUGAGUGCUGGGAACUCAACCUAGGUCCUCUGCAAGAGCAGCUCAAGCCCUUAACUGCUAUGUUCAGCCACCUCUCCAGUCUAUAACUUUUCUUUUUUGCCUUAAAUGGAGAGAACACACACAAUUUAUAUGUUUAAGUACUAUUAGACUACUGAAAAGGCCUUAAAGCAGUGCAGACGCCAGAGGCAGCCCUGGAGAAAUGAGGUGUUUGGAAGCACAGUGGAGGGGCUGGACUGGGAAUGCAGGAUGAAGGCUUGUUUCCUAGCCACUGCGUUCUUGGUGAGUACACUGCUAACCUGCUCUUAAACUUGAGAAACAUUACAGCUCUCUGGAUCACCUUCAGGUUCCUUCACCUUCUCUGGAAAACCUCUCCCCCCAUCCAUUUUUAAAAAUACUGGGCUGAGAACAGGCAGUGGUGGCGAAUGCCUUUAAUCCUAGCACUUAGGAGAUAGAAUGUCAGAUGUCUGAGAGUCUGAAGCCAACCUGGUCUACAUGGUGACACUCUGUCUCAAAAAAGAAGUUAUAAUUACCAGACACUGUUAGAGCAAUGAAUUAACUCACUUUAUUAAAUCCAACUUGAUUGAAUUUAGAAUCACCAGAUAAACACUUCUGGCUGUGUCUUUAAGGGUGAUUUCAGAGAGGUUUAAAUGUGACCCGCUGUCUCAUACUCCUGCCACAAUGUCCUCUCUGCUAUGAUGCUCUCUACCCUCCAGCUGUGAGCCAAAAUAUGCCCUUGCUAUUGAGGUGCCCGACAACCUUUUGUUAGGUGUUUUUAACAGCAAUAAGAAAAGUAACUAUCUCCAUAUAAAGAAAAUUAUCCUCACUGCACAGAAGAACAACAGGUGUUGGAGCUGGAGAAACAGCUGAGCAAUUAUCAUCACCGGCUACUCAACCAGAGGACCUGGGUCCUGAGUUCCAGCGCCGAGAUAGUGUUUCACAACCUUGUGUAACUCUAGUUCCAGGGAAUCCAAUGCUUAGUCUAGCCUCUAGGGACAUUGCAUGCAUGAGGUGCACAGACAUACAUGCAGGCAGAAUACCCAUGUGCAUAGUAAAUAAAAUUGUCAAGAAAAUGUGAUAUUGUGUUUAUGAUCUAACAAAUAAAGCCUGCCUAAAGAUCAGAGUGCAAAGCUAGCCACAUUAGUUAGCCAUAGAGGCCAGGCAGUGGUGGUACACACCUUCAAAGCCAGCACUUGGGAGACAUAGAUAGACAGAUCUGUCUAUCAAGGCCAUCUUGAGCUACAUGAAAUUUAUCCAGUCUAAAAGAGAAACAGAACUCACACAAAGCACUUGGGAUCCCACGAAUUUAUCCCAGUACUAGAGAGGAAUAUAAGGCUGGAGGAGAUAGGAGUUCAGUGCAGUCUGAAGUUUGGUGAAGACUGAUGCAGUCUGCAGUCACACUGAAGACAGGGUCACCUUUUUGGUCUGAGCAUUGGUAGAGAGAGGUGAGAACUCUCUAGUGGCUUGGCCGCUUUGCUUCGCUGAUCUUUGGCUUUAAC
ensembl:lincRNA